AUUGAACGCUGGCGGCAGGCCUAACACAUGCAAGUCGAACGGUAACAGGAAGAAGCUUGCUUCUUUGCUGACGAGUGGCGGACGGGUGAGUAAUGUCUGGGAAACUGCCUGAUGGAGGGGGAUAACUACUGGAAACGGUAGCUAAUACCGCAUAACGUCGCAAGACCAAAGAUGGGGACCUUCGGGCCUCUUGCCAUCGGCUGUGCCCAGAUGGGAUUAGCUAGUAGGUGGGGUAACGGCUCACCUAGGCGACGAUCCCUAGCUGGUCUGAGAGGAUGACCAGCCACACUGGAACUGAGACACGGUCCAGACUCCUACGGGAGGCAGCAGUAGGGAAUAUUGCACAAUGGGCGAAAGCCUGAUGCAGCCAUGCCGCGUGUAUGAAGAAGGCCUUCGGGUUGUAAAGUACUUUCAGCGGGGAGGAAGGGAGUAAAGUUAAUACCUUUGCUCAUUGACGUUACCCGCAGAAGAAGCACCGGCUAACUCCGUG
rnacentral:rRNA from 1 species